CCUACGGGUGGCUGCAGUAGGGAAUCUUCCGCAAUGGGCGAAAGCCUGACGGAGCAACGCCGCGUGAGUGAUGAAGGUCUUCGGAUCGUAAAACUCUGUUAUUAGGGAAGAACAUAUGUGUAAGUAACUGUGCACAUCUUGACGGUACCUAAUCAGAAAGCCACGGCUAACUACGUGCCAGCAGCCGCGGUAAUACGUAGGUGGCAAGCGUUAUCCGGAAUUAUUGGGCGUAAAGCGCGCGUAGGCGGUUUUUUAAGUCUGAUGUGAAAGCCCACGGCUCAACCGUGGAGGGUCAUUGGAAACUGGAAAACUUGAGUGCAGAAGAGGAAAGUGGAAUUCCAUGUGUAGCGGUGAAAUGCGCAGAGAUAUGGAGGAACACCAGUGGCGAAGGCGACUUUCUGGUCUGUAACUGACGCUGAUGUGCGAAAGCGUGGGGAUCAAACAGGAUUAGAUACCCCAGUAGUC
rnacentral:rRNA from 1 species